UAUAGCCUAUCGUUCACUCAAAAGGCGCGAUGGGUGCUUCGACUUACGAAAGACACUCGGGAACAAAUUAAUUUCGUAAGUCGGGGUUCCACUGUAUUUAAGCCCUCAGUUUUCCUCAGCUCUUUACUCUGUUGUGCUGUGUCAAGCUGUACCCUUUGUUUGUCUGCCUUGUUGUUCCCGGUGGAUUGUUUGUGGAUUUUUGAAUUAUUUUUUUAAUUAUCUCUCAACACUGUGGAUUUGCCGCGCCCAUAUUAAAGUGUGACCCCGCCCCUCCCUCGGCCAGUCGGGGAUGAGUGCGCUAACAUACCUGUAUGUCGCUGUUUUAAUGAGUGUUGAUGGAAAACGACAAUGGCGGAGUUUGCACUCUCCAGUCACAUGAUAGUGUGCUGCAUGACACAGAGACGCCUGACCAUGGCAGGCACGAUGUACAGGAGCCAGAGGUUAUCAGGCUGUGGUAUCCCUGACAUCUACACUGCGACACUACCUGAUGUUAAGAGGAUAAGGAGCGAGAUUUUAUCUCAUUUUGUGUUUCACAGAGCAAGAGGUGGACCACACGUUUGAAGAGCUGCUGGUCUUUAUAACUGGGGCUGACUUACUUCCACCACUGGGGUCCUGCAACAUAGACUUUUAUGAUCAGGAGUCGGGGAUGUGGCGCAUCCCAUACGCAUCGAUGUGCAGCUUAUCCCUGUAUCUUCCGAGACGUUUUGCAUAUGAGGAUCAAUUUAAAGAUCUUAUGAACACUGCAUUAAAAGGAUCCCUGGGAUGUGGAAAGCUGUAGCUGCAUUUACAUGAACUGAUGCUGGAAAGCUGUGGUUAAAACCUGUGGCCUUUUGGGAUGAAGUUGUGUUAUUGUAAGUGUUCUUAAAUGGGAUUGCUCCUGGGCUUCUUCAAAAUUGUACAUUUUAAAAGUGUUUAGUAUAAAAGUUUUUUGUUUUUACAAAUGUGACGGUUCAUUGUAUGUAGUUGUAUUUAUAGUCCAGUUAAGACAGGUGGGGUAUGCAUGCAACAAGCCAUGCACCAAACAGUGAUGUUCAGAAAAUGUUUCAAGUAUUGGAAGGAAAAUAACAAUUCAUCUAGAAAUGUUCUUUUGAAAGGUUGUUGUGCAUUCAUGUUUAAGUAUUCGGUUAUAAUAUACUGCAUAGUUUCUUGUUGCUGCGUUGUAUUUGUUUUGUUGUUUUUUUUAUUUAUUUAUUUAUUUUUGUUUUAAAUGUGCAAUAGCUGCCUAACAAACUUUGAACUGAAAUACGCUGACUUUUGUAAAAUAAAAGUAUUGUAAUGUCA